UCCAAAAGCUACAUUCAUCCAGCAGCUAAAUUCCAUAAACGAUUGUGUCUAUAUUAAGGCUUCCCUUGCCAUCAGGCAUUUCAAAGACAAAGGCGCCGACGAUGGCUAUGGAGCGGCAACCGGCACUGCUGCGACUGCAAGUCCUCUUGCUUUUUCUUUCCUUCUUGCUUUUCCACCAGGCGGUUGCCGAAGUUCACUACCACGAGUGGGUUGUGGCUCCAACUUCAUAUACAAGGCUCUGUCGCAGCAACGACAUCCUGACGAUCAAUGGGCAGUUACCAGGGCCGACCUUAUACGUUCACAGGGGUGACACUGUCAUCAUCAACUCCUAUAACCAUGCCAACUACUCCGUCACCAUUCACUGGCAUGGAUUGAAGCAGCCUAGGAACCCAUGGUCGGACGGGACGGAGUUUGUAACCAUGUGUGGUGUUCCACCGGGAAAGAAUUUCACCUACACUCUUCUCUUCACAACUGAGGAAGGCACCAUUUGGUAUCAUGCUCACAGUGAAUGGACUCGCGCCACCGUUUAUGGUGCCAUUGUCGUUUACCCUAAGAUGGGAGCCACUUACCCUUUCCCAAAGCCAGACAAUGAAUACGUGGUUGUUAUAGGUGAAUGGUGGAACAGUGAUAUAAUGGACGUGUUUGUGGAAGGGGUGACGAGCGGGAAGGAUUUCAACGUAUCAAAAGGAUAUACCAUAAAUGGGCAACCGGGUGAUCUGUAUGAAUGCUCACAAUCAGGGACAAGCCGGUUUGUGGUUGAGUAUGGCAAGACGUAUCUGUUCCGCGUUGUCAACGCAGUAAUGAGCUUCGGGAUGUUCAUCGGCAUAGCGAAUCACACACUCAGAGUUGUUGGUCGAGACGGAGCCUACCUUAAGCCGUUUGAGAGAGAAUUUGUCCUGCUAAACGUAGGGCAGACAAUAGAUAUCCUUGUGACGGCAAAUCAAUCACAAGGUCUCUAUUAUAUGGCCACCGAUACCUACAAAAUUAUAAAGUCAACUCAUGAUGCCAAUAAAACAACAGCCAUAGUAGAGUACAGGGGCUACAACUCCUCGCUAGCCUCAUCACCACCCUUACCAUAUCUUCCAUCCAACACCGACACAGCUGCUGUGUAUGAAUUCAGCGAGUGGUUGAGAAGCCUGGCAUCGGAAGAGCACCCCGUUGAUGUUCCCAUGGAGAUCGACACCAGGCUAGUCAUCACCAUGUCCUUGAACGAAGAACAGUGCAACACCAGUGCCUGCUCCGAGGGCUAUAAACUGGCUGCCAGUAUGAACAACAUCUCUUUCCUCAACCCCCGGAUGGACAUACUCUCCGCCUACUACGAAAGCAUCAAGAACGUGUACACGACCGACUUUCCGGCGUUCCCGCCGUAUAUGUUCAAUUUCACGGCGGACACGUAUUCGAAUGAUCUGUUAGUACCGGUGUAUGGGACGAGGGCGUUGGUGGUGAAGUAUAAUGCGUCGGUGGAGCUGGUUCUGCAGAGCACGAUGUUGCUGUCGGGGGAUUAUCAUCCAACCCAUCUGCAUGGGUAUCACUUCUGUGCGGUUGGACAAGGCUUCGGCAACUUUGAUCCCGUGAAUGAUCCGCACAAUUUCAACUUGGUCGAUCCUCCAAAGCUGAACACGAUCGACGUCCCCUUCGGCGGAUGGGCUGCUCUCCGUUUCAGAGCGGAUAACCCCGGUGUGUGGUUUCUUCACUGCCACUUGGAACGCCAUUUUACUUGGGGGAUGACGACGGUGUUAAUAGUGACCGACGGCCCGAAUCCUGAAACAAGUAUGCUGCCUCCCCCAACCGGCAUGCCCAACUGUUCAGACCGAACUGUCCACGUUACUCGAGAUCACAAGAGCAACGAGCCGCUGGAAGACGGCCUGAUGCCGGCCGUCAACGUCAAUGAGGACGGUGUAGAUGUGUCUGCGUGAUAGCUUUAAUGGUACUUGUAUGAAGCACAGGUACGCCUAAGUAUCCAAUCAAAUACUUGGUCAGAGUUUGGGCAUUCAUGACAGUGACUCACUCAAAUUUUACGGUGGAGUAUGGUGAGUAAGUGUCAAAAGGAAGGGCCAUGGAGGGAUCCACGUUCCUCCGGAAUUCCUAAUUAGGUCACGUUUGAUAGCCAUGGAUCUCAGUUUCGCAGUGAUCUAAGAUCUGUAGUUUUCAAGCCCGACCUCCUCUCCUAUCCAAUUUCAAAUCCAUGCUUUUUACAUUAAAGUGUAGAUCUGAAAUCUAAAUUAGGGGUGGAUGCUGAAAUCGACAAUUUGAUUUCAGCUAUCAUGGAGUUGAGAUUCUCCUUGGAUCCGAGAUCCAUGAGAAAUCAAAAGCAACCUAAGAGUUGAAAGCAGUGGGCUUCUACUCUUCAUGAGUCUUGCUUGCCUUUAUAACCUUUAUGUCUGAUUAAUUUACGAGACAUUAUGACUUCAGUAGACACUAGUGGUUGUGAUUUGCAUCUACCAUUCAAACAUGAGAAAAGUCAUCCAUAGACAGAUUCUUGACAAAUGGCUCCUCCAAUAUUGUGGAAAGAUAGCAAAGUAUUUGGAUUUGUCUCCCAAGUGGUUGAAAUCAUGAUGGGUCAAUUUAGAAUUGACUUCCUCUGUAGUUGCGUAAAACUGAUUGGUUCUGGUUUUCAAAAAGUAGCAUUGUGGAUCAAUUCUGAAAUGAAAAUGCUGGAAUCAAGAUUCCAUCGACCGUGCUCUGCUCCCUCGUGCCCCACCUUUUCCCAACCCUCACCCACGAUGCCCUAACACGCCUUUUUCCUCCAUCCAUGCCGUUAGCUAUCUUCUCUCUUUGUCCUUUAUCCCCACCAGCAAUGAAGUGCAGCUGAUCGGGAGUUUUCAACUCUUCAAACAGCAGGUUGCAGCAGAGAGAGGCUGCUCCAGAGAGGCCAGCUCCACCCAAUACAACGUAUGGAAGAUGGAGGAAGCAACCAGAGAGGCCAGUUCCACCCAAUAUGACGUAUGGAAGAUAGAGGAAGAAGAAGAAGGGACGAGAGUCGAAGAGAGACGAAGGUCGAACAAAAGGGGAGAAGAAGAGGCAGGCGAGCGGGCGAGCUUUCUUAAAAACUUAAAAAUAAAAAAAAAACCUUAAAAAUUGGACCAAAGUAGUCUGGUGCACAUUUGACCGCACCCGACUCAUGUCAAACAGGAGUAGGGUGCGAAUAAAAAAAAGACGAUUUUAACCGGGUGCGCCUGACCGCACCCGACUCUUGUUUGACUUAUUUGGGUGCGCACCGAAAGCGCACCAGUACCCGCACCCACACCCGCAUCGCAUCGACACGGGUGCGAGGCCAAACGUGGCGCACCCUGGUAUCAUAGCAUACAACGUGCUAGCCAAAAAGGAAAGUAGUAAAAUUGAUACCAGAAUAGAAAGGAAGAAGAAUGACACACAAAGUUUUUUUACAUGGUUCAGUGACAAAGUUCUCUUACGUCCAUGGGUGCAUUCGGCUUUUUUUUUUUAAUAUCCCAAAAAGAUUAGAGUACCAGAAAAAAUUAAUUGUGCCCUUUAAACAUGGGAAUUAGGAGUUUUCUCGAGCAGGCCUUUUAUUUGGUAGGUAAUAUCGAUGAAGAUACCAUGAAGGCUAUGUACUUAGAAGUAGAGAGCAAAUUGAAAAAAUGACCCUAAAUCUUUGUAUACCGACUCUACACCAUAAAAUGUAAACUUACAUAAACACCUAUACAAAAUUUUUCGCAUUAUGAAAGCCUAUUAAGUAUAGAUCAGACCCCACGGACCACGC